GGAAAGGCGCGCGAUACAGGGUGACAGCCCCGUACACAAAAAUGCACAUGCUGUGAGCUCGAUGAGUAGGGCGGGACACGUGGUAUCCUGUCUGAAUAUGGGGGGACCAUCCUCCAAGGCUAAAUACUCCUGACUGACCGAUAGUGAACCAGUACCGUGAGGGAAAGGCGAAAAGAACCCCGGCGAGGGGAGUGAAAAAGAACCUGAAACCGUGUACGUACAAGCAGUGGGAGCACAGAGCAAUCUGUGUGACUGCGUACCUUUUGUAUAAUGGGUCAGCGACUUAUAUUCUGUAGCAAGGUUAACCGAAUAGGGGAGCCGAAGGGAAACCGAGUCUUAACUGGGCGUUAAGUUGCAGGGUAUAGACCCGAAACCCGGUGAUCUAGCCAUGGGCAGGUUGAAGGUUGGGUAACACUAACUGGAGGACCGAACCGACUAAUGUUGAAAAAUUAGCGGAUGACUUGUGGCUGGGGGUGAAAGGCCAAUCAAACCGGGAGAUAGCUGGUUCUCCCCGAAAGCUAUUUAGGUAGCGCCUCGUGAAUUCAUCUCCGGGGGUAGAGCACUGUUUCGGCAAGGGGGUCAUCCCGACUUACCAACCCGAUGCAAACUGCGAAUACCGGAGAAUGUUAUCACGGGAGACACACGGCGGGUGCUAACGUCCGUCGUGAAGAGGGAAACAACCCAGACCGCCAGCUAAGGUCCCAAAGUCAUGGUUAAGUGGGAAACGAUGUGGGAAGGCCCAGACAGCCAGGAUGUUGGCUUAGAAGCAGCCAUCAUUUAAAGAAAGCGUAAUAGCUCACUGGUCGAGUCGGCCUGCGCGGAAGAUGUAACGGGGCUAAACCAUGCACCGAAGCUGCGGCAGCGACGCUGAUGCGUUGUUGGGUAGGGGAGCGUUCUGUAAGCCUGUGAAGGUGUGCUGUGAGGCAUGCUGGAGGUAUCAGAAGUGCGAAUGCUGACAUAAGUAACGAUAAAGCGGGUGAAAAGCCCGCUCGCCGGAAGACCAAGGGUUCCUGUCCAACGUUAAUCGGGGCAGGGUGAGUCGACCCCUAAGGCGAGGCCGAAAGGCGUAGUCGAUGGGAAACAGGUUAAUA
rnacentral:rRNA from 1 species